rnacentral:misc_RNA from 1 species
UCGGUGGUGGGUUCGUUGUGGCUCGUCUAGCGAUGGGACGACGCAUGAGUGGUGAUUGGGAUAGGUUUCCCWUGCAGGCUCCAUGYAUGUGGCAUCGAACUGCUUGGGUCUAUCUAKUUCAUUUGUGGGUUCGCCUCGGCGUUUUCAUGGUCGGUCGCGACUACUUGUUGGGUUCCUGUGCUUGGUACUGAAUUUUGAAGUUGGAUGGAUUGCUNUNCCCCGUCAUGGUUUUUUGAUCCCCCCCCC